GCGAGGCUCAAGCUUCACUUCCGGCUGUCCCUGGAGCUGGUAGAUGAGCCCUGCCUGAGAAAAAUGUAAAAUGACGAAGAAAAAGGCCAGGAUCUCCUACCCAGAAUUCCUCCCUCCUGGCUCGGAAACCCCAACUCUGAGGGCCCAGCUUUGCCACCAGUGGAGUUCCUGUAAUGAGCUAUCAGGGAGCCACCUCUAGUGGGUCAAGGGGCACUCAGCAUGCACUUCCAGGAAAGACCUGCGGCUGCUCCUGUUCACAGCAGAUUCCAGUAGGAACCAGUCUUAAGGACCAGCAUGGGUGGUGUGUUCACCAUUCAAGUCUCCAGCUUCCUCUCAGAGCCACAUCUCCAGGCUGCUGGGGAGAGGAUCCUGAGCCGGCUCCCGUCCUCUCAAUGCAGAGUGUGAUUCCCUGGUCCCACUUGGCAGAAAUAGAGGAGCCCAGGGCCCAAAGCAGAGAAGGCUUUCCUCCACCCCUGCAUCUCCCAUGGGGAGAGGAGCCCUAGAGGAAGUCAGGCUCGGGAGCCAGAGUUAACUUCAAAGGGGAUGGAAGGAUCCCAUAGUAGGCAGACCUCUCCUUAACUCACUGGAAAACCAGGCCUCAUCUGGCCUGUGAUGACAGCCACCGCGUACAUCUUGAUGACCAGCAGUGUGCUGCAGAGCAGAAAGGCCGGGAGCACCUGGCCGCUCUCCAUCACCAGGCCCGGGGAAGGCAUCUCGGCUAGCCGGCCUGGACUUCAACUCGGGGACACCGGGACUGAGAGUGAGACUGUCCCACAGGCGGCUUAUGGAGAGGAGGAGGCGGGCCAAGUCCUGAGUAGGCGGUCACCCCCGCCCACUCCCCGCCCACCCUGAUCACCCGCAGCAGGCCCCCUGCUCAAGUCAAGAAGGAACCCAGAGACUUCUGCUCCAAGUGUCCGGGUGGGGGGUGGGAAGCAGAGGAAUGGAGGUGUCCCACGCCAUCCUUGGCUCAGGACCAUUGUUCUUUUGAAAGCCUCAGACUACAUAGAGUGUUUUCUCACUUAACAUCAGGUCUCCGACCCCAGUCUGCAUAUCACUGACCCAUGCCCACCUUCCGAAAGAGCGUGAGAACCAGGGCAUUUAUGCUAAUGUGUGGCCGCUGUAAUGCUGGACAUGCAGCCAUGGAGGUGGGUUGUCUCUGCAAGAUGGAAGGUGAGGAGACAGAUCCUUCUGCCAUCCUCUAACAGGACACAGACCCCCAAUUACCAAUUCGUGUGUGUGUGUGUGUGUGUGUGUGUGUGUGUGUGUGUAUUUGCAUAUGGGUGGGGAUAUUCACGUGUGUGCACCUUUGCGUGGAAGCCAGUAGCUGCUGUCACAUGACUUUCUCAAUGUCCA
rnacentral:lncRNA from 1 species